rnacentral:lncRNA from 1 species
UUGGCACUUGGUAUGUGUAUUUGGUAUUUUUAUACUUGUUUCCAGUUGGUGACCCUUGCUUUGUAUGUGAUAAAUGAACGGGUUAUCCCCCACCUAAGAUGACGGAGAGCCUAGCGAGACUGUGGGUCAUGUGGAUGGCGAGGAAUUCGUGGACUAUCCCGGAGUGUAGAGAGUAGCGCUUGUUAGGCUACAUUUUUGGUUAGGCUUAGGGCCUAGUUGUAUUUUGGAUGACUGUAUGUCUUAUACAUUUAUACUCAGACAUGUUUAGUGCCUUUUGGCCUUGUGAUAUAUUCGGUUCAUAACUCGUGUCUUUUGGUUGAUGAACUUAAUGUAUCCGCUGUAUGUAAAUUAUUCAGGUACACAUUUCGCUUCGAGGAAGCCCUGUAAUAUAAUGUGUUGAUGUUAUAUUUAUUUUCUAUUGAAGGAUGAAUUGCCGAGAUAGCUGCGGGCG